GUGGGCAUAGUUUAAUCAAAACAUUAGAUUGUGAUUCUAAAAACAGAAGUUAAAACCCUCUUGCCCACC
rnacentral:tRNA from 1 species